rnacentral:misc_RNA from 1 species
CGAAAUGCGAUAAGUAAUGUGAAUUGCAGAAUUCAGUGAAUCAUCGAAUCUUUGAACGCACCUUGCGCUCCUUGGUAUUCCUUGGAGCAUGCCUGUUUGAGUAUCAUGAAAUCUUCAAAGUAAAUCUUUUGUUAACUCAAUUGGUUUCUACUUUGGUAUUGGAGGUCUUUGCAGCUUCACACCUGCUCCUCUUUGUUCAUUAGCUGGAUCUCAGUGUUAUGCUUGGUUCCACUCGGCGUGAUAAGUUAUCUAUCGCUGAGGACACUGUAAAAGGUGGCCAAGGUAAAUGCAGUUUAACCGCUUCUAAUAGUCCAUUGACUUGGACAAUACUUUUAUGAUCUGAUCUCAAAUCAGGUAGGCCUACCCGCUGAACUUAAGC